rnacentral:rRNA from 1 species
GAUGAACGCUGGCGGCGUGCCUAAUACAUGCAAGUCGAGCGAACAGAUGAGGAGCUUGCUCCUCUGACGUUAGCGGCGGACGGGUGAGUAACACGUGGAUAACCUACCUAUAAGACUGGGAUAACUUCGGGAAACCGGAGCUAAUACCGGAUAAUAUAUUGAACCGCAUGGUUCAAUAGUGAAAGACGGUUUUGCUGUCACUUAUAGAUGGAUCCGCGCCGCAUUAGCUAGUUGGUAAGGUAACGGCUUACCAAGGCAACGAUGCGUAGCCGACCUGAAAGGGGAAUGGGACAAAGAGAAAAGGAGAACCGGUACAAACCCCAAAGGGAGGCGGCAGAAGGAAAUCUUCCGAAAUGGGGGAAAGGUUAACGGGAAAACGCCGGGGGAGGGAAGAAGGUAUUAGAAGUGUAAAACUUUGUUAAUAGGAAAGAAAAAAAGUGUAAGUAACUAGACACGUCUUGACGGUACCUAAAAAAAAAGCCACGGCUAAAAAAUG